ensembl:lncRNA
CUUCCGUGGGCCUCGGCCCCGCCCCCUCGGGCCUUGCGGGAUCGCAGUGGGCCCCAGCCCUGUCCUGUGACCUCCACCACAACGGGCCCGCCCCCGCCCCUCCCUGCUGUACCGCCCCUCCCCCGCCCCAUCCCUGCUGUACCCCCCCUCCCCUGUACUUCCAUGUACCCCCCUCUCCCCAGCUGACCGCCGCAACCCUAGUGGUUCCCUCCUCUUGACCCUUCACCGCGUCCUCCUAACUCCUGUCCUGCCACCCCCCAAGCAGACUCCUCGUCCCCAGACCCUCUGGCGUGGAGAGGGGCGGGCUGCAGUCUGCUGCGGCCUCCUGCGCGCGGCCUGGGCUUUGGGUGUGGUCAGGCAGCGUCGAGGUGAGGUCACAGGGGUCGCGAGGAGAGAGAGCUGGGAGGGCCCUUCUUGCUCUCCCGGUCGUUACAGCCGUCUGCGGGCCCGCCGGCAGGGUCCUGAGAAUGAGCACUUAGGGCCGCCUUGAGUUGCUGGAGCCAUGGUGGGGGCCCGGGCGCGGGAGGGUGUCCUGGGGGGAGGCAAGUGCAGGGGGUUGCUGGAGCCGCUCCAGCCUGGGGUGACCGUAAUGAGAAAGAUGGCAGCAGAAGCUAGAGGGCACGGGACACCCAAUGGGAUCAACCCCACUGUGUCUCUGGCUGAGGCCCACACACCCGUCUGGCCAGUGGCUGACAGAUGGGCCUAGCAGACCCUGAUACGGCCUCCCUCUGCCUGAGGGGCUCAGGUAGCCGUGGGACCUUUCUUGGGAGCCCCUGCAGUGCAGACAGCAGCCCAAAGGGCCGGAGAUGGACAGCGGAAAGCACUUAUUUAAGGCCCUCCUGGGGAAGAAGCCAGAAUCGCAGCUGUCCCAAGAGGAUGGGCAGCCCUCUGCCACGCCGAGCCCAGCCGUGGCCUGGGGCCAGCCCAGCGCUCAGAGCAGCAGUCAGCAGGUGCUGCAGACUCAGGACUGGUUUCAGAUUCUGAAGGCUCCUCCCACAGAGGCUGAGGACCUGGCCCCCCCGCCCCGUCCUCCCACUUUGAUUGUUUCAUCUUUUUACCGCAAUCCGCUUCCGAGGUCUGCUCUCCAGCGACCGUGUGAGCCUGGUCCACAGCUGACCGUGGAGAAGUUUCCCUAAGAACGGUGAGGUCUGCCUUCUCAGACAGCUUCUGUGUUUCCCCGGAGGUGAUGCUGCGCCCUCCUGGCCCUCCCACUUCACCUUCAUUGUCUGUGCAUCGGUUGUGACUUCCCCCCAACCUUUCCAGCAAAGCCGUGACUUUCUGCUCACACGCGCCCUGACACCUCAGGUCUGGGAGCUCCGUUUCACCCUCGUGCCAGAGGGUAUUUAAGGCCUUGAGAGUUUAAAGUUGUGAGAAUACCUUUAUUCUGCUGACACGCCUGAGUGAUACCUCGUCUGGGUGAAGAUUCUAGGUGGGAAAUAGUUUACUUUCAGGAUUCUGAGGGCACGGUCCCAUCCCCUCCAGCUCCCAGGGCUGCGGCUCGCUGCCCCGGGCCAGGCGGCUUCUGUGUGCCCGGCUUGUCGGCCUCUGGAACCCAAGCUCUUGGUCCCCCUUGCCGUCGAUCUGAAGUGUCGCCGCACCGUGUGUCCUCUGGUGCCAGUCGGUUUCCUUUCUCGGUCCCUUCCAGCCUGGAGCCUGGCUCCUCCUGUGCGCACGUGUGUGUGUGU